rnacentral:rRNA from 1 species
CAAUAGCGUAUAUUAAAGUUGUUGCAGUUAAAAAGCUCGUAGUUGGAUUUGUGGCGUACGGUGGGUUCCGGGCACUUGUUGUCUGAGUAACUUGCUGUUGCCAUCCUUGGGUGGAACCUGUGUGGCAUUAGGUUGUCGUGCAGGGGAUGCCCAUCAUUUACUGUGAAAAAAUUAGAGUGUUCAAAGCAGGCUUAUGCCGUUGAAUAUAUUAGCAUGGAAUAAUUAGAUAGGACUUUUUUGCUAUUUUGUUGGUUUGCGCAAAGAGGUAAUGAUUAAUAGGGACAGUUGGGGGUAUUCGUAUUCCAUUGUCAGAGGUGAAAUUCUUGGAUUUUUGGAAGACGAACUACUGCGAAAGCAUUUACCAAGGAUGUUUUCAUUAA